rnacentral:lncRNA from 1 species
CUCAGGAAGAAGAGGGAUUACCUCAUUUCCACCUCCUAUGAAAUAAAUCCUCAUUAUGGAUUUGCACCUGGGGAGGAAGAAGCUGAUUUGCACUCCCAGCCGGUUCUGAGCAGAUAUUUGAAGAGGUCCAGAAAUGGAAAACCAGUCGAAAAGCACUGCAGCUGUGUCCCAGAGCCUGCACCACGGUGAUGGCACUGGGGAUGUGGCCUCGGGCUCUUCAAAGCCUCUGCAGCUGCCUCUGGACCUGAACUGCUGUGACUUCAUGUUGUCCAAGUAAUUACAUACAAGACCAUGGAGAGAGAUCAAAUCCUGCCAUCUCCCUUGGAUCCUGGAAACAGCCUCUUAAGGCACCCUCGAGCCUCGUUAAAGGAAACAAAUCAAAGUGCUGCACCAGAGGAUUGCAGGGCUGGCUCCUGGGAUCACUCACACCCAGGAGGGACUGGAUCUCUGCAAAGUGCCAGGUGGCAUCCACGGGGAGGAGGCAGAUGUUGCUGGAUGACAGGAUGGAGAUCCAGCCUCUGGACUUGGUUCCUUGCCUCGCUGCCUGCAGAGGUCAGCAGUGCUGGAGUCCCUGUGGGAUGUGGACAGCCCUACUCCUUCCCAGGCCAGGAAAAGAAGAGAAACACUUCAUGAUCCUUAAACUUGUUAAAUUUAAAACUUGAAAAGGCACCUUCAUGCUUUCAAUCAAUCAUUUUUACUGCUUCUAAUGCAACUGGUCUCAGCUUUCCUAGAAGACCCAGAGGGAAACCAGGAAAGAUCAGAUGUGACAUUCUGGACUUGGCGUGUGAAAAGCAACUGGGGAAAAAAUAGAAUAAAGUGAAGUACAGAGAGACUUGUGGCUGCA